CCUACGGGAGGCUGCAGUGGGGAAUAUUGGACAAUGGGCGAAAGCCUGAUCCAGCCAUGCCGCGUGUGUGAAGAAGGCCUUCGGGUUGUAAAGCACUUUCAGUGGGGAAGAAAGCCUUGGGGCUAAUACCCUCGAGGAAGGACAUCACCCACAGAAGAAGCACCGGCUAACUCCGUGCCAGCAGCCGCGGUAAUACGGAGGGUGCGAGCGUUAAUCGGAAUUACUGGGCGUAAAGCGCGCGUAGGCGGUCUGAUAAGCCGGUUGUGAAAGCCCCGGGCUCAACCUGGGAACGGCAUCCGGAACUGUCAGGCUAGAGUGCAGGAGGGGAAGGUAGAAUUCCCGGUGUAGCGGUGAAAUGCGUAGAGAUCGGGAGGAAUACCAGUGGCGAAGGCGGCCUUCUGGACUGACACUGACGCUGAGGUGCGAAAGCGUGGGUAGCAAACAGGAUUAGAUACCCGAGUAGUC
rnacentral:rRNA from 1 species